AUUGAACGCUGGCGGCAUGCCUUACACAUGCAAGUCGAACGGCAGCACGGGAGCAAUCCUGGUGGCGAGUGGCGAACGGGUGAGUAAUAUAUCGGAACGUGCCCAGUCGUGGGGAUAACGUAGCGAAAGCUACGCUAAUACCGCAUACGAUCUAUGGAUGAAAGCGGGGGAUCGCAAGACCUCGCGCGAUUGGAGCGGCCGAUAUCAGAUUAGGUAGUUGGUGAGGUAAAGGCUCACCCAAGCCGACGAUCUGUAGCUGGUCUGAGAGGACGACCAGCCACACUGGGACUGAGACACGGCCCAGACUCCUACGGGAGGCAGCAGUGGGGAAUUUUGGACAAUGGGCGCAAGCCUGAUCCAGCAAUGCCGCGUGCAGGAUGAAGCU
rnacentral:rRNA from 1 species